rnacentral:rRNA from 1 species
UUUGAGUGAGUGGCGGACGGGUGAGUAACACGUGGGUAACCUGCCCUAAAGUGGGGGAUAACAUUUGGAAACAGAUGCUAAUACCGCAUAAAACCUAACACCGCAUGGUGUAGGGUUGAAAGAUGGUUUCGGCUAUCACUUUAGGAUGGACCCGCGGUGCAUUAGUUAGUUGGUGAGGUAAAGGCUCACCAAGACCGUGAUGCAUAGCCGACCUGAGAGGGUAAUCGGCCACACUGGGACUGAGACACGGCCCAGACUCCUACGGGAGGCAGCAGUAGGGAAUCUUCCACAAUGGACGAAAGUCUGAUGGAGCAACGCCGCGUGAGUGAAGAAGGUUUUCGGAUCGUAAAACUCUGUUGUUGGAGAAGAAUGUAUCUGAUAGUAACUGAUCAGGUAGUGACGGUAUCCAACCAGAAAGCCACGGCUAACUACGUGCCAGCAGCCGCGGUAAUACGUAGGUGGCAAGCGUUGUCCGGAUUUAUUGGGCGUAAAGCGAGCGCAGGCGGUUUCUUAAGUCUGAUGUGAAAGCCUUCGGCUCAACCGAAGAAGUGCAUCGGAAACUGGGAAACUUGAGUGCAGAAGAGGACAGUGGAACUCCAUGUGUAGCGGUGAAAUGCGUAGAUAUAUGGAAGAACACCAGUGGCGAAGGCGGCUGUCUGGUCUGUAACUGACGCUGAGGCUCGAAAGCAUGGGUAGCAAACAGGAUUAGAUACCCUGGUAGUCCAUGCCGUAAACGAUGAGUGCUAGGUGUUGGAGGGUUUCCGCCCUUCAGUGCCGCAGCUAACGCAUUAAGCACUCCGCCUGGAGAGUACGACCGCAAGGUUGAAACUCAGAGGAAUUGACGGGGGCCCGCACAAGCGGUGGAGCAUGUGGUUUAAUUCGAAGCAACGCGAAGAACCUUACCAGGUCUUGACAUCCUUUGACCACUCUAGAGAUAGAGCUUUCCCUUCGGGGACAAAGUGACAGGUGGUGCAUGGUUGUCGUCAGCUCGUGUCGUGAGAUGUUGGGUUAAGUCCCGCAACGAGCGCAACCUUAUUACUAGUUGCCAGCAUUUAGUUGGGCACUC